rnacentral:rRNA from 1 species
CUACGGGUGGCAGCAGUAGGGGAUAUUGCACAAUGGAGGAAACUCUGAUGCAGCAACGCCGCGUGAAGGAAGACGGUUUUCGGAUUGUAAACUUCUAUCAGCUGGGAAGAAAAUGACUGUACCAGACUAAGAAGCCCCGGCUAACUACGUGCCAGCAGCCGCGGUAAUACGUAGGGGGCAUGCGUUAUCCGGAUUUACUGGGUGUAAAGGGUUCGUAGGCGGUUAUUUAAGUCAGAUGUGAAAGCCCGAGGCUCAACCUCGGGACUGCAUUUGAAACUGGAUAACUAGAGUACAGGAGAGGAAAGCGGAAUUCCUAGUGUAGCGGUGAAAUGCGUAGAUAUUAGGAAGAACACCAGUGGCGAAGGCGGCUUUCUGGACUGUAACUGACGCUGAUGAACGAAAGCGUGGGGAGCGAACAGGAUUAGAUACCCUCGUAGUC